rfam:Felis catus isolate Cinnamon breed Abyssinian chromosome X, whole genome shotgun sequence.
GCCUGUGUGGCUCAGUUGGUUAAGCAUCCGACUUCAGCUCAGGUUACCAUCUCAUGGUUUGUGGGUUCGAGCCCCACAUCGGGCU